UAUGAAGCCACGUGUAACUUGUCCCCCUCCUUUCCAUCAUGAGAACUACUGAAGAUGUAAACCAAAUCCAGGGAAACCAGUGACAUUUGUGAAUAGUAGACGGGAUAAAAGGAGCUGGACACACUCUUUCUUCAACAUCUGCCAUGAUAUGAUUUCACAAGCAAGAAAUGUGCCAAGGCUUCUACCCAAGAAUAUAACGUACAUGGACACGUCAUGGGGGCUCCCCUGCCCUCAAGCUCCCAUGGGGGUUCAGCCAAUGAAGACAAGAAGAAAGAGAGAUUGAGGUCAUCCAGUGAUACUGAUGAAAUAUUCCACCGGAGGGAGAAUCAUGAAAUAUUCCACCGGAGGGAGAAUCAAAUCCCUGUCUAGCCUCCUUGCCCGCAGGAAGUUGACAGAAGAGGGAUUGACCUGAAGGAUCAAGGGGUGGAGGGACUGAACCUCAAUCAGAUGGAGUGAAUGCUUCAGGUCACACAGCGAAAGAGUCCUGGAUGAAAACCCAGUGCUACCAGAAGGCAGUCUCUUCUCUCCACCACACUGUACCUCCCACAGCCCUCUUUUAGAGCAAGGCCAUUUCAGGGAAGCCUUGCCAUACCCGAUCUCCACAGGCAGCUCUCACCAACUGUGCUUCAAGUGCAUGGUCAUUCCAGAGCCUGGACGGAACGGGCACUCCUGGUGCUAUGGCCUCACUGCCUACAAAGCUAAGUGCACAGGUAGGGGGACAGGGUGCUUCCUUUGCUCCUGUGGUGAUCUGGAGACACAGAUCAACCCAGUGUGAAUGGAACCAGGCAGAGCUGCCCACCAAAAUAAAAGUGUGGCCAAAACCCAGCCCUGCUUGUGGGUGAACAAAAAACAUGCCCUCCAGCCACAACUGCAUUCACAGAGCUUCCGGGGAUGGCUCUUACCUGGGGCUGCUCCGUAUGGAAACAUAAUCCAUAGCUUGGCUCCCACAAAUAUGCUUAUCCCACGUGCUACAUAUGGAAGGAGAAAUCAGCUUGUAUUUCAUUAAACAGUUUGGCUCAGGUCUUGUGAGCAAAUAUUAGAAUCUGCACUUGGUACAGAGUCGUAAAUGCAUUGUUAGCAAAUCAGAUGGCCGAUAAAAAAUACAUAAAUCAAUCAAGCAUUCCUACUGCUAAAUGUUUACAAAUAAGCAAAACAACGAUCCCCUUGUUAAAAGUCUCUUCUGCUCUAUGAUUUAUUAAAGUUCUGAAUUCCAUGUUGGGGGCCCAGGGAGUUGAAGGGUGUGGAAGUGGGCUGGCCGGUCUAAGCCGUCCGUGAUCCAUUCCAGGGCAUUUGCCAGGGCACAGCUGGGCUUCCCCCACCCAGGGACAGUGAGAG
rnacentral:lncRNA from 10 species